ACCAAGAGAAGCAGUUCUACAGUGCCAGUCAAAAGCGAACAGGCUGGAGACCCAGGAAGUGCCAGUGUUUCAGUUCAAGUCUGAAGAUAGGUAAAAAGCCAAUGUUCCAGUUCAAAGGCCAUCAGGAAAAUGUCCUUGUCUUAGAAGAUAUAUGCUGAAGUAUACAGCAGUGAAGUAUAAACAUUUUUCAACUGUCAAAUGAUUCAACAAAAAUGGUUCAGAACUUCCUACGACCCCCAAGAGGGGCUUCCCCGGCUACUCAGCGGUAAAAGAAUCUGCCUGCGCUGCGAUGCGUAAGACUCAGCAUACCUGGAUCUUCCCUAUAGCUCAGAUGGUAAAUAAUCUGCCUGCAAUGUAGGAGACCUGGAUUCGAUUCCUGGGUCAGGAAGAUCCUCUGGGGAAGGGAAUGGCAAUCCACUACAGUAUUCUUGCUUGGAGAAUCCCAUGGAUAGAGGAACCUGGCGAGCUACAGUUCAUGGGGUCGCCAAGAGUGGGACACGACUGAGCGACAAACACUGCUACUGCUGCAGGAGACCUGGGUUCCAUCCCUGGGAGGGGAAGAUCCCCUGGAGAAGGGCAGAGCAACCCGCUCCAAUAAUUUAGCCUGGAGAAUCCCAUGGAC